UUUAACUCCCUAUUUUCACAUAAAUCCCUAAAUUUCAAAAUUUUCACAAUUUAGUCCAUAUUAUACAAAAUUUACUAUUUAUUCUACAAUUUAAUCUUUUUUCAUUUCUAACUUAAAAAUCUAUCAAUUUAAUCUCUAAUACUAAAAUUAUUCAACAAAGACAUCACUUAAAAACUCAAUAAUUUUUAAAAUUUUGAAAUGGGUCGAGUAGUAUUUAAUACCGAGAUUCCAAAAACAUAAAAAUUACAAGAAAAUAGACUAAAUUGACUAACCAACUAAGCUUGAAACUUUGAAACCGUAAUUUUCCCUUUUCCUUCUUUUUCUCCUGCUUCGUUUUUGCUUAUCUGUUUCUUUCACUAUUUCUUUUUCUUUUAUUUCUUUGUUUUAUUAUUAUAUAAUAUAUAUAAUAUAUAUAAUACAUAUAUUUAAACAUUAAGAUAUAAUAUUAUAAUAUUAUAAUAUAUGUAAUAGCCAAUUUUGGCUUAAAAGAACCCAAACCAAUAAAACGAAAAACAAACCCACCAAAUAAAUGAUAAAGUCCAAAUUGGCAGUCCAUUUUAUAAAUAUCAGGGCCCAAUUCAUUAAAACCAAACCCACUACCCAAAUUUUAUAAACCCUAGCCCAAAUCCCAGCCCACUAUCUUAAAAAUUUUCAGCAGACAAAAAAACCUAGCCACUAAGCCUUCAGCCACCGAUCCUCACCAGCAAGGCCACCAUGCGCGCCACCACCACUCGGCUUGCCUCCACGUGCCUCUGACACUUGCAAAACGAAGCAAACACGCAAGCAGUAAAAACAAGAAAGAAACAACAAAUAGAAGAAACAAAUAACAAAAUGAUAAGAAAAAUAGAUGUAAAAGGUUGUAAUCCGGCUUUAAAAGCCGAAGGAUCCCCUUUUUAUUUUUUUUACGAAACAGUAAGCAAUCAAAAAGCAAAAAUAGAAGCAAAAAAAGGUUGAUUUCGAUUUCCAUUUUCGUGUUCUUUUCUUUUUUAUAUUUUUUAUCUUUUAUUUUUAAAUCUUUUCUAAACAAAAAUAAUAAGAGAAGGAGAGGGAGAGGGCUUAUCCGGAAUCCCUGUGAUUGUGUCACCGGAGACUCUCACCGUUGCUGAAAUUAGACCCAAAAUGAGGAGAGAAGAGACUUUCUUCCUUUCAAUCGACGGGCUGACGAUGCAAAGGCUAGGGUUCAUAACCCUAGCAGAGAGUUGAGAAACAAAGGGGAGAGGGUGUUUUGUUCUUUUCUUGAAAAAUAAAAGAAGAAACGGCAGAUUGAAAAAGAAGGAAGAUUUUGGUUUUAUUUCAUCUUUGAAAUGACGUCGUUUGGUGGGGUGAGGGUUUGCACAUUCUCCCUAAAGGGAAAAUUUGUGCGAUUAGUCCUUUUCAUUCGCAACUCCAUUCAAUCGGACCCCAUUUCCUGUUUUCUUUUGUUUUUUUAAUUUUAACCCUCAGAUUUCGUUUGGUUUUUGAUUUGGUCCUUUGUGCUAUCAGCGUAAACGCGCGCAGAGCAUUUAGGGGAUUUUUUUCAUCUAGUCCCCGCUAGUUUCGGCGCGUUUCGUUUAGAUCCCUGAUUAACUUUCCAGUAUUUAUAAUUUUGUACCCCGAAUUUUAACUUGUUUUUAACCAUGUCCUAAAUCUAUUUAAUCCAUUUAUUAACAUCUUUUAAAACAAAAUUCAUUUAUAUGUUAUUUCAAAUAUUUUAUAUGUUAUUUACUUUACAUCUAUUCUAACUUAUUUUAAUAUAUUGUUUGUUUAAAUUCUUAUUAUUUAUUUUAACUUGCUUUAUGCAUAUAUUUUAUCUUGAUCUAUUUUAUAUGUAUUAUUUAUUUUAUAUUCCUU
rnacentral:lncRNA from 1 species